GAUGAAGAACGCAGCGAAAAGCGAUACUUGGUGUGAAUUGCAGAAUCCCGUGAACCAUCGAGUCUUUGAACGCAAGUUGCGCCCGAAGCCACUAGGCCGAGGGCACGCCUGCCUGGGCGUCACACGUCGUUGCCCCCCACCAUCUACUCCUUCGGGAUUGCGGGGGGCGGAUGAUGGCCUCCCGUGCGCCUAGCCGCGCGGUUGGCAUAAAUACCAAGUCCUCGGCGACGCACGCCACGACAAUCGGUGGUUGCGAAACCUCGGUUGCCCGUCGUGUGCGUUCGUCGCGCAUCGAGGGCUCGAAAAAAUGCUCGGCUCCGGCUCGGCUUUCAACGCGACCCCAGGUCAGGCGGGGUUACCCGCUGAAUUUAAGCAUAUCAAUAAGCGGAGGA
rnacentral:misc_RNA from 1 species